rnacentral:rRNA from 1 species
GACGGAGGGGGCUGGCGUUGUUCGGAAUUACUGGGCGUAAAGAGCACGUAGGCGGCGGUGCAAGUUGGGGGUGAAAUCCCAGGGCUCAACCCUGGAAUUGCCUCCAAAACUGUGCUGCUUGAGUUCGGAAGAGGAGAGUGGAAUUCCCAGUGUAGUGGUGAAAUGCGUAGAUAUCGGGAGGAACACCAGUGGCGAAGGCGACUACCUGGCCUGUUCUUGACGCUGAGGCGCGAAAGCUAGGGGAGCAAACGGG